AGUUCCUUUUCAACGGAUAAUCUUUAUCAUGAAAAAUGUGAAAGAAAAUAAACUUAAGUACUUACCAAUCUAAUAUUUGAAAUUAUCAGUAGGUACACAUAGUAGCAACUAAUUUUUUUUUCAAAUUAAUUGUACCUACCUAUUUAGUUAGUAUCAUUAAUUACAAUGGUAAGCACAGUCAUACUGAACCAUAUAAACAAUUGUUGUUACUGGUAAGUAGCAGUCUUGGAAUAGGUACAUGCUACCAAAAAAUUAGCAUAUUAUGUAAACUAAACAUUUAGUUACGUAAAUGCAAGUCAAAAUAUUUGAACUGUGUCUAUUGCGUAAUGAUACGUAAGCGUAAUAAAAAGAGUGAGGCCUGACACAAUACUAUGAUUUAACAUAAUUAAAAUUUUAAAUCUUUUGUAAAAAGACCAACACAUAAACAGUUAGUACAUGCAUUCAUAAUUAUUAUUGCAAACAAUAUGAGUAAUAUUUCACCGUAAAGACAACUUGUUAUUAUUAUUAUUAUUAUUAUUAUUAUUAUUAUUAUUAUUAUUAUUAUUAUUAUUAUUGUGGGGUGAAUAAAAAUAAUAAUACAAAAUAAACUGAUCAUUUGAAGAGGUAUUGUUGCAUAUUUGUAAAUCAUCUGAGGGCGUGAGACAAAAGCGUAGUUAUUGUCUCAUACAGACAACUGUAUAACUGUUCAGGUAGUUGAUAUAACAGUUGUGAGACAAUUUCACAUUGGAGUUUGUACAUGCAUUUACCUGCAGCAUUACAUAUUAUAAAGUUGGAACAAAAACAUAUCAAAGUACAAUAAAAAUAAUAAUAAUAUAAUAUUAUUAUCACAACUUUACUGUUGUUUUGACGGCGUAAAAUCCUAUAAAGCUGAGUAAAAUAAUGUGUAUCAUAAAAACCAUUUGGGAUUCCUCGACAAACAAGAUUAAUAAAAACUAAAAAUAUAUGGUUCAUUGGUUUGUUCUGAAUAUAAUAUCAUUAUACUUCAUUACACCUUAAUACCUUAUACAGUAUUAAUUGUACACUAAAUACACACUAUAGAAUUGACCAUCAUAAUUUAUUCACAUUUGACACGUGUCGUCACCGUAAAAAUUAUUACUCAAGCCAAUAUUAAUAUGAGACAUUUCAGUUAAGUCGACAUCGUUCACCAAAACCAACGAGCGAACUCGAAGACAUACAGUUAUAGACGGCCAUCUUCCCAUAAACAAAAAAAAAAACACUAAACAAUAGUGCUCGAUCAAACCUUCAGCUCCAGAAAACGUACUUACAUAUCCGCAAGGAAAUAAAGCAAUUCUUCCCCGGAAAACUAAUAUCGUAGGUAAUUAGGUCCACGCAUUGCUUGCAGUUACAGCUGUUGGCAGUUUCGUGUCUACACCGAUCUGAUUAAAUAUUAAUUAUUACCUACGGAAAACAGGCGAGUUCAGCCUGGGAUGUCGCAUAAUUAUUUUGCACUACAACGGAGUCUCGGGUUAUCAGAAGUAAUAAUGAUUCGCAUAAUUUUCAAUAAUAUGACAUAAUUUGAAAAACGGUUGAGAGCAAGUGUCACAAUUCGAACGUGACUAUUUCGAGGUACUCCACAAUAAUAAUGCAAUAACACGAUACCAUAAUCUAGGUAUGCACCUACUUAAAAACGAUGUUCCAUAGUAGGUACGUUUUUUAUGGUAUGCAUCGGCAUAUCGCCAAUGAUGCAGUGAUACGACGACGACUGUGAUAUGACUUUCACCUAUUUUCGACGUCGUUCACUGCUCAAGGCGAUUAAAUAAUAAUAAUAAUAAUAAUAAUUGUAAUAAUGUGUACCGACUGUGAUCAUACUGUUAACCCGUUU